UUUCCGUAGGUGAACCUGCGGAAGGAUCAUUGUCGAAACCUGCCCAGCAGAGCAACCUGCGAACGUGUACGUAAUAUUCGGAAAGCAAGCGGUGGCCUUGCAGCCCCAAUUGUGGCCCGCUGUUGGGGGGUGCACUCCGACCCCCUAAGGGGAGACGCGUGAACACCCCAACAAAAUAACGAAACCCGGCGCGAACCGCGCCAAGGAACUUUAAGAAAAAAAGAGAGCCUUCCCCCGAUGCCCUGUUCGCGGGUGCUAGGGGGGCAGUGUCAUCUCUCACGAAUCUAAACGACUCUCGGCAACGGAUAUCUCGGCUCUCGAAAUGCGAUACUUGGUGUGAAUUGCAGAAUCCCGUGAACCAUCGAGUUUUUGAACGCAAGUUGCGCCCGAAGCCAUUAGGUUGAGGGCACGUCUGCCUGGGCGUCUCACAUUGCGUCGUUCCCGAUCCCAACCACAACGGGUGUUGGUGUUCGGAAGCGGAUUUUGGCCCCCCGUACACUCGCGUAUGCGGUCGGCCUAAAAACGAGUCCCUGGCGAUGCGUGUCACGACAAGUGGUGGUUGAUAAGCCGUUGCGUCCUGUCGUGCGCUGCUUCGUCGCCGGCGGUUUCUCUAACGACCCUGAAGUGCCGUUGCAACGGUGCCUCGAUCGCGACCCCAGGUCAGGCGGGACUACCCGCUGAGUUUAA
rnacentral:sRNA from 1 species